rfam:Gossypium arboreum cultivar AKA8401 contig_22737_7, whole genome shotgun sequence.
UGUUAAAAAUCUAUUUCUACUAUUAAAAACUGAUAUGGCUAACAAAGUAACCAAAAAGUUACACAUGGCGUGCCAUGUGUACCUUAUUUUGGUGUACAAGGACCAUAUUUUAACAGUAAAAAUAGAUAGAAUUUUUAACA